GUUCUUUCACAUAAUACAUUAUAAUUCCAGGCCCAUCCUAUUUUAUCCCUCCUUUUAAUGAAAAUUUUAUAACAAAUCAUUUCUCAAGUAUUUACAUCAAAACUGUUAAGGAGGGUUUUAUUUGAACAUCACCCCCGGGACUUUUGCAACAAAAAGUUCUUUUCCCUUAAAAGCAACGAAGAAUUGCCAUCCUUUCAGAAUUUUUUCCACCAUUUAAGAAGUGCUUUUUGGCUGAUGGAGAAGUUAAAAAUUUCAACUUUUCUUCAGCCAAAAGUCCGUUUGGCUGAUAAUUUCCCAUUUUAACCUCUCUUCUCCCCCAAAAAAGUUUCUUUUCUCUGGUUCUUUGGAGCUCUAUACCCAUUUUUUUCACAUUUUCACUUUCAAAGUUUUUUGUUCAGGUUCUUUGUUCCUCUUCCGCCGUUGUUUCAAUGGAUUCCAGGCCUGAAUAGCAAAUAAUAAAAGAGAAAGUGGAGAUGAGGGGGGAGUCAUCUGGUUUGAUAAUUGGGAUUUCUAUAGGAGUGGUAAUUGGUGUAUUAGAUGUCAUAGAAGGAGAUCCCGGAUAGGAAACAGCAGUUCCAGGAGAGCUUCAACUAUUCCUAUAAGGGCUAAUGGAGCUGAUUCUUGUACUAUAUUAUCCAAUUCAACUUCAACUAUUCCUGUAAGGGCUAAUGGAGCUGAUUCUUGUACUAUAUUAUCCAAUUCAACUAUCGGUCCCGAUUCACCUGUGAAAUCUGGAAGAAAUAGAAUGUCUGUGUGGAUUGAAGGGUUUAGAAGGAGUAAUGUUGUCUCUGCGUAUGAAAUACUUGAAUAUUCGUACAAGUAUGUUUCUUCGAAACUUGUUGAAUUAUGCAUCACAACGGUUUGUUUUGAUUGGUAUUUGCAAAUAUUUUUCUUUAGUUUUAUAUGUGAUUAUGAUUCAACAGUGCUGAGUUGGUGAUUCGAUUAUGUUGUUUUCCAUUUGAAGGAUUAAUGAUAGGCAAUGGAAAAUUAUUUUUUUGCUUCA